GGGGUAGGUCUUUCCAUUGUGACACUCAAAGUGGGGUGUACCAAUUGUGGCUUCCAUUUGUCGCCUGUUGGCAUAUAUGUACUGCGCAUGCGUAUUCCUUUCGUACGUGUGCUGUACAUCCCAUCUUGCUGUCAUGGUCUACAAAAUAGCCAGGUUAAUUACAUCGUCGACAUAAGAUUACUGGCUCGCCAACUGUCAGAUUGGUAUGGCCUGCUGAGAGCACAGCGUUUUGUUUUGAAUCUCAUUUCUAUCCUUUGUUGAGGUUACAUUUUACAGAACGGUUUCGCGCCGACUCCAUUCAGCUGCUUGCCCACAUCUAUCUCCGGUUUCUGGGCGCUCUCAUGCCCAGUUACUCUCAUGGGAAUGACGAAAGACUGAUACAAUCUGAAGACUGAGAUCAAUCCCAUAAAUAUUGGGUUAUCGAGAAUCUAUAUUCCAUCUGAACUAUGACGGCAAGCUGUGUUCUGAGAGUUGUACAUAUUUGUCUUGGCCCAUUCCUCCAUCCCAAACCUAACACUUUCUUUGCCUUUCCCAGUUUCACAACGAUUUAAGCACCUGAAAUGGCGAUGAUAUGGUUUGAUGAGCCGAAUCUGCUCGCUGGAAAAUCCAGGCUUCCUGCAGGCUCAUUCAAACUGGCACAUGUGAUGAAGGCUAUGUGCCACAGUUUUAUGGCUCUCUCUGGACCGAGUCACUCUUACCCCUCAUCGGGAUGAGUUUCAGUGUGACAGCAACCUUCCAGGUGCCGUUCUGGAAUACUUCCUCCGCCUCUUGUUGAUGAACUGCAUCGGUGACAGAAAGAGCGAAUGGCCAAGGCAGUCAAUGGCGUAGGUUAGAUUCAUUCAUCGUUGAUUGAGUACCAUGGCUCCUACUCUGCGAUCAUUCUGCUUGACAUGGCGACCUGGUGAGAGUUGGAUGGAUAAGAUUUUGGUAGUUGCAAUCACCUAUUCUGACAGAAAAGGCAUUUGCAUUAGAGACAGGGAAAGUGCUUGACCUGAGGCCCCAACCGGAAUGGUUGACCUGUUGGUGCGUGGACUUUAAACAUAUACACACAGUGCGAGAGAGAGAAAGAGAGAGAAAGAGAAUGUCUCUCUCUCAGCUUCAUGACUUUGGGAAAGCCAAACGUCUCCUUCCAUGGCAAAAAGUGGUGAUUUUCAGUGUUGAAAACAUUGUCAACAAUCCCCCUUCCGAGAGUUCACGUCCGAGCAAUACUCGCCAGUUGUUUCAAACUUGCUUCUAGAACUGGCACUUGAAUGAUGAAAUUAUUUUGUGAUGGCUCACACAAACUUAUUCCGUGGCUAAUUUUGGACAUGCCAAACUGGAAAAUGGAUGCACAUUGAUCUUUCGAGACUUUGAGAAGGACAACCUAGGAAAAAUUUGAUUGUUCAAUGUGCGGCUCCAGGAUUGAAACGGUGUUAGGGGCUGAGGCCGAUAUUUGGUAGGCCCCUAAGUGAUUGUGAAUAAAACCCGGGAGAAUGCAACAAUUAGUGACAUUGAGAAAGUGAUUGUCAAGCUAAGUUACAUACCGACGCCGAGCUGAGUGUUCUCGUAGCGAGGAAGAUCCCCGAUAUCGCACGCCAGCUGAUUCGAACUACCCACUCAUGAGCUGUUUCCACCUUAUGAACCCAUAAUAUGAGUCAAAAGAAUGGCUAUCCCAUUUUCUUUGUCUCAGAGGCAUGUUUUCAACCCAGGGAUUUGAAUUCCAAACCAAGCCCUUCAUUUUAGUCUCAGGAAUUAUCGGGUUUGAACCUUCAGUUAUUACGACGAAGAUAUCAUUCACAAUCAAGCAUCUUCCGUCUCAUCCUUAAAGUAUGAGGCGCCAAUAACCCUUCUCCUACAAGCAGAAUCUUGAACAGAAACUGUUUUUAUCUCUUUGCUGAAUUGUGACGAAUGUCAUACCUUACUUCGCGCUGCUACUAUACUUCAUACACCCUCGUCUUGGAGCAUAUUAAUCCAGCACGAUGUCCAGGCUUCAAGCGACGGCGAAUCCGCACAGCAUUUAAAACUUGGCCGUGCGAUACUAUGGCUUAAGUAUAGCUAUGUGGGUGGAAGUUUUUUCUUCCACUCAAUAUGGCCGUAUGUGCAUGUUUUUAAUGUGCAGUUGAUGAAUAGCACCUGUUCAACCCUAGGGUUGGUUUGGAAGGACACGGUGUAAAUGGGCUGAUGUAUAACUAUUGCCCAAACAACUUAUCUCAUCAGGCUACCUACACUGUGGUUAACAAGUUCCGCUAUGUUAUCUGAUCCCAUCUCAGGCUAACAGGAUAGCUCCUCCUACUUUCUCAAUCCAUAACCUCCUCGCAUCUCGUCGUCGCACAAUUGCUCUCCACACAAGAUUUGCAGCGGUUCAAUUCCACCGUUGGAUACUUCCCAUUUUUCUGCACGCACAUGGCGUAUCCUGUAUCCCAGGAGACACACCACGACUCUGCUAGCGAAGUCGGACAGAACACUCUGUAGUUGCAGUCACGCCUGGAGAGCUGAUGAUCUGUCAUAUCUGUUCAACUAGGGUUUCAAGUGAAUGGCAUACGGGGCAUUCAUUUCUCACAUACCUACAAUAUUGAGAGGGGAUGAGAGAACGAGUUCUACAGCAGUGUGGAUGCUGACAAACGCGGUAACGAGAAGCGCAUGGAACGAAAAUUUCAUGAUGAAUGGGCGGUUUUUGAGUUGCCAGCCGGAAUGGCUCAGGGUUGGUUGAAGAAAUGAAGACCCGCGUAGGAAACUAGGCUUAGUUGUGUCAUUAUUAUAUUGCUAUAUGGCUGGUUCAAAGGGCUUUGAUCAUACCUGUGAGCGUCUUUUAACUAAGAUAUAGAUGGCAACACAGAUGGACUCAAAACAAUCUUUUGAGGGAGCAGCUAGCCUGACAUUUAUACUCAUUUCACCGUUGGCUUGUUUGAUGGGAUAUUUUGAUAUCGCCUAGAGCAGAAAACCAUGUCUCAUACCCCUCACAAUACCUCGUAAAGUUUGAGCGGUUAGCUCACAACCCGUUCCCUUUACGCAAGGUUAUCGCUAAAUAGCUGGGAUAAUCACCAUCCAUAUUGUGUAUUGUACACACAUAGACAAACUUACGCAGCAUGCAAUCCUUGAUGGUGUGUAUGCAAGGAGCCGGAGUAAACUUCAUAGGUAGUACUGAAUAGAUACCUUGGAGGGAUAUCCGUGCCUCUCUUCCUGAAAUCAAGGCCAUGGUUAACAACGCAUAAAUAUUUUGGAAUGGCGAACUGGAAUGCCUGCGUCAACCCGGGAAAGACUGACGUUCUCCCUUUUGAAAGCCGCAAUCCAGCGUUCGUGUCCUGUUACAUUGCCAUACCAAACAAGCCGGAUAGGAAGGCAUAACAGCUCUGGCCUCUGGGUACGGAAUAUAGCGGCAAUAACUUUUUCCGGGCAACGAGAUUGAAACUUGAGAAGUGAAGGUGAGAACACAAACAACUGGGGAACGUGAGUUAAUAAACUGUCCAGAAGCCACACCCGAAGAACAAAUAGACAAGUAGAGUAUGUAUAUAUUUGCUUCCACAGAGGUGUAGGGUAACAAAAUGGUACAUUUAUAUCCAUGAAAAUAUUAAAACUUUGAAAUCAGGUGAAGAUAGCGUAUUUGUACAUAAAUGGUAGAACAUGGUUGCGGAACUUAGGAAGAGGAGAUUCGAGCGGAGACUGUACGUAGAUGCCUGCAAAACUUCGAUUGAAAAGGUAAUUAGCGGACCGUGAUAAAAUAACCCGGUUUCGGUGGAGCUGUGGAAGAAGAUUAUCUCCCAUAUUUGUCCAAACGAGCGCCCAUAGUAUCCAUUCCCACUUUCAUUCUGCACUCUGACCCCUUCUCUGUCCAUUGACCCAAGAGUGAGAACUUCAUUAAACUCCAUAUUUAAUAUUUCCCAACCAAUCAGAGAACCUACUUAACGCCAGGCGAUUGAAAAUGAAUAUCAUGGUGAGUAGGAACAUCGUAAACUCUCGGUAGGUGCGAUAAGUGGCUCCACUGUGGCAUAGCUCGACGACGGGAUGGCCAUUAUAGUAUUAUUCGCAGGUGUUUUUUAGAGUUCUUUCGUAGCCUGUGACGGGCCUGUGUCGCCCGGUUUUUUAUCAGGAAGCUUCACGUCCGAGAAAUCAUCUUGCCCAACAGCAUUUAUAGUGAAAGCGUAAACGCCUAUACAGAAGCCGAACAAUGCGAGCCCAGUAGCAGCAUUUUUGAUCAGAUACGGUCGACGGGCACGAAUUAGGGCAGCGCCCGCUCUGUAGUCUUUAUCGUAGUAUGAGGAUUUGAAGAUCGUCAUGAUAGAGAGAAUUGUGUAUUCAGGUUCUUAUUGAAUUCGCUUACCGAAGGAAGGU
rnacentral:sRNA from 2 species